rnacentral:rRNA from 1 species
UAACCUGCCCAAGAGAUCGGGAUAACACCUGGAAACAGAUGCUAAUACCGGAUAACAACAGAUGAUGCCUAUCAACUGUUUAAAAGAUGGUUCUGCUAUCACUCUUGGAUGGACCUGCGGUGCAUUAGCUAGUUGGUAGGGUAACGGCCUACCAAGGCGAUGAUGCAUAGCCGAGUUGAGAGACUGAUCGGCCACAUUGGGACUGAGACACGGCCCAAACUCCACGGGAGGCAGCAGUG